rnacentral:rRNA from 1 species
UACGUAGGUGGCAAGCGUUGUCCGGAUUUACUGGGCGUAAAGAGCGCGCAGGCGGUCGUGCAAGUCGCGUGUGAAGGCCCCCGGCUCAACUGGGGAGGGUCACGCGAUACUGCUCGACUUGAAGGCAGGAGAGGGAAGCGGAAUUCCCGGUGUAGUGGUGAAAUGCGUAGAUAUCGGGAGGAACACCAGUGGCGAAGGCGGCUUCCUGGCCUGUUCUUGACGCUGAGGCGCGAAAGCUAGGGUAGCAAACGGG